rnacentral:rRNA from 1 species
GUGCCAGCAGCCGCGGUAAGACAGAGGGUGCAAACGUUGUUCGGAAUUACUGGGCGUAAAGCGUGUGUAGGCGGCUUUGCAAGUCGGAUGUGAAAGCCCCGGGCUCAACCCGGGAAGUGCACUCGAUACUGCAGAGCUUGAGUGUGGGAGAGGUUGGUGGAAUUCUCGGUGUAGAGGUGAAAUUCGUAGAUAUCGAGAGGAACACCGGCGGCGAAGGCGGCCAACUGGACCACUACUGACGCUGAGACACGAAAGCGUGGGGAGCAAACAGGAUUAGAUACCCUUGUAGUCC